AAGUUUGUGCAUGUAUACAUUUGUACUAAGAAAAUAUCUUCAUUUUAUUUGCUUUCUCCUUUAUCACGUGACAAGAUUUAUUGACUUUACAUCAGCAUUCAAAUACUGUUAACUUUAUGUAAUAGUGUUUGAGUUGGGGAUUGGUGGGUUUGCUGUUCUAUGAAGGAUAGUUGUAUUCUGUUAGGCAUAAUUAUGACUUUAUUGUCCUUGUUUGAAGAUUAUGUAUUAUCUCAGGAGAUGCAUGUGGGUUCAAGUCGAAAAAGUGUGGGCUUGAGAUGGUUAAUACUGAGUGUCAACUUGAUUAAAGGAUGCAAAGUAUUGGUCCUGGGUAUGUCUGUGAGGGUGUUGCCAAAGGAGAUUAUCAUUUGGGUCAGUGGGCUAGGAAAGGCAAACCCACCCUUAAUCUGGGUGGGCACAAUCUAAUCAGCAGCCAGCACAGCUAGAACAUAAGCAGAUAGAAAAGUGUGAAAAAGAGACUGGCCUAGCCUCCCAGCCUAGUUCUUUCUCUUGUGCUGGAUGCUUCCUGCCCUUGAACAUCGGACUCCAAGUUCUUGGUUUUGGAACUCGGACAGGCUCUCCUUUCUCCUCAGCCUGCAGAUGGCCUAUCAUGGCUGAGCUGCUUCCUGGAACAUUCAUGAAACAAGAACUCAAGUAAGUACUUUUUCCCAGUUUAUACCCCAAAACCCAGAGCCCCUGGUUACAUAAUGGUGAAGGAAUCCAGUAACUUUGCCCUUGUGGAGCUUCCAUUCUGUAGUGAAAGACAGCCGGUAAGUAAGAGGGGCUUCUUACAAAUAGGAGUGGGUUAUUAGUGCAUAUUGAACUCUCACUGUGCUAGACUUAGCAUCAUCUCACGGAGCUAUUUACUCCUCUCACCAACCAAUGAAAGAGGUACAAAGGCUAUACAGUGGUAGCACAUUUUCUGGGCUUGUAUCCUACCUCUGCCAUACUCCAUGUAAUCCUAAGCAAGUUCCUUUACUUAUAUUUACUUGCCUCAAUUUCUUUAUCUGGAAAAUAGGAAUCCUACUUUAUAUAGGAUUGUUGGGAGAAUUGUACAUUUGUAGCUCUCAUAGCAGUGCUCAUCAUUUUGUUCAAUUUUCCAGAUAGAUAAGCUGAGGCAUAGACAGAUUAAAUAACUUGUACCAAUCCAUUCAGCUAAUAAAAAGUGGGAACUGAAAUUUCAACCCAAGUCGCUGACUGUACCGCAUGUGCCCCUACCCACGAUUGGCUUUGCUCUUCUAGCAAGAUCUCUUCACCUCUUGGAGGAUCAGUUUUUCCACCUGCAAUCUGGACAUAAAUUGUCUCCCUCUCACCCAGUCUGUUGUGAGACUGAAUCAUGAAAUGGUAUUUAAAAGUGCUUUGAAAACCGUAAAGCAUCACAGAAAAUAAAAGUUUCUAUUAUUGUUAUAUUUAUAUUUUUAUAUUUACCACUUUAGUUUGAGUAUGAUGAGUUGUGUUUGCCUGUCAUAUAAGGCUUUCUGUUUAAUCUGUCGUGGUUCAUAUAGGACCUGUUAGCCAGCCUGGGAGCCUCUGUAGUGCCUCCUUAGUCCUUCCUCAGAUUUUUGUUAGUCAACCCACUUUUUGAAGAUGAUCCCUGUCAGUUCUCUUCUAAGGGGAAGAGGAAAUACAGAAGAUAGGAACUGAAACCAUCCACAGUUUUGGAUACUUGUUAAACGUUCUGUGAAAGUUUUAGUUGUUUGGGCAGAUGGUGAAAGCACUUCAAAAUCCUGGGAACAGAAUUCAACAUGAGUGAGCUCACGAAAAGGGGAGUUCAUAGAAACGAUAAAGGGGCAUCUCAGCAAAUCUGGAGAAGCGGAGUGUUUAAGCAUGCCUUAAGGAAACGAAGUUAUAGGCCCCAAACCCUUUCUCCUUGCUAGCAGAAGUGACCUCCAGUGGGUUCCAGAUAACCUAAAAGUGGCCAAUGCUGUCAUGUCACUUGAGGAAUUAUUCCCUUCUGAGAAGUCAUGUGCCUCCACAAAAAGAAAUGAUAUGAUUUUUUAAACUCAAUUCAAAGGAUUAUGUUUAGACCCAGAUUUAUGCAGAUCAACACAAGUCCUCAUCAAUAUACAGCAUGAGAGGAGGUAUUUAAUGCCUCUUUUUUUUUUUCAGAGUCAUUCAUUUUCUGACAUGAUGGUACUACACCACCCAAAGAUUUCUAACCAUGUGAGAUUUUUGAGAACCCAGACCCGGAAAACUUUCUUUGGAGGAACAUAAGGAAUAAUGGUGAUCAGUCCCCAGUAAAGGUCAUACAAGGAAAGAGAAAUAAUCUGGAAUUAGGGAGGGCAGUCAAAACUGUCUGAAAAUGAUUAGCUACAUUAGGAAAACUUUAAAAGUACCAUUUAUCUGCAGAUGGUCUAUGCAUUUGAACAGAGAUAUUCUGAGCUACUCCACUCACAAAGAGGCUGAUAACUACUUUAAAAAGCAGCUUGUAGGUUGCUACAUUUAGGAAGGUCCUACAUUUAGGACAAUAUAACUGAUGCUUAAAUAUCUGUAAUUGUAGCACUAGCUUAGCCAAAAGGCCAUGUUUUUGCUGUAGGGUAAUAUUAGAGAUGACAAUAUAACUGAUGCUUAAAUAUCUGUAAUUUGAUGAGGAGGGCAGAAAAAAAAAAUCAGAGUUGGAUAUACUGCAUUGAAAAUAAAAUUCCACCCAAAAUACCAAAGACAGAGAAAUUGUACAGAGGUAGGUUGGCAAGAGGAAAGAAUUCUUAAGAGUACAAGGUGGCCUGCUCCAUUGUUCUUUCUCAGAGUUUUAUAAUCUUCCUUUGCAUUAAAAAUCUAAAGCUGACAUGGCCGCUUAGUCUGUCCCCGACUCAACACCUGAACGCUGUAUAUUAUUCUGCUUCUCUACACAAGUCAACUGGCAUGUGUGUUUAUUUAUAUGCAAAGAUCCUCAAUUGGCUGCCCCAGAAAGAGACAGCAUGUGCAGAAAGAUUGAGAGAGAUCCCAAAUGGGACAGAGAAAGAAUGCAAUUGGUUGUCAUUUAUCAAUGAAUCAGCUCUACGAGAAUGAGAUGUCUGUCCUUGUCCCGAUCAGCUAUGAUGGGGAUAGGGUCACCUUGCAAGACUUUUUGUUUUUUCAAUCAAUAAAGAAGUUGUGAGUUGGGCAUUUUUCCAUAAUUUCUCUAUUUUUGGUAUUUUAGGUGGAAUUUUAUUUUUCAUGCAGUGUAUCCAACUCUGGUUUUCUCUGCUCUCAAUUCCACAUUACAGAGAGUUAAGCAUCUGCUAUAUUAUUAUCCCUAACAUGUAUUGAGGACCUUCUUAAAUGGGGCAAUGUAUAGAUUAUUUUUUAAAGUAGUUAUUAGUCUCUUUGUGAGUGGAGUGGCUCAGAACCUUAUACACCUAAAGAUUGUCUCUUAUCAAUGGCCGGCUGUGAACAACCUCAGGCUGACACCUUGAAAAAAGGAUUUGCAUCUGAAUCUGUGUUUUAUGUUUCUAGUCUACCUACCAACCUUGUUGUCCCACUAUACUAAAAAUACUACAAGGAGAAACAAAAUCUGUGCCCUCAAGGAGUUUUAAUCUAGAGUGAAUUAAAUGUAUAAGAUUUUAACAUUUUCUCCAAGCCCAGCUGUGAAAUGAAUAACUAAAUUGGCUCCUUGAAACAAACAAAAAAAAAUGCCUUUAAAAUAUCUUCUGUUAGCGUUUCAUGCAAAAGUUUUAACUACUCUCUUCCUAACUAACUCUUUUCUGGCGAGGUUAUGCUUUAGCUGCCACCACUCAGGAAAGCAUUAUAAUUGUAGCACUAGCUUAGCCAAAAGGCCAUGUUUUUGCUUUAGGGUAAACUUGUUAAAAUUGGGAACUCAGCCAGGGUCAUGCAUCUAAGAACAUUGUGAAAGCAUCCUAGGGUUGUUCAUCUAGCUACGGUCUAAUUAAUUUUCAAAUGGACAAAAUAGCUUCUUGGGCCAUAUAACAAGCAUUUUCAUUCAUUUAAGUGAAGCUGGAUUUGGCUCAAAGCAGGGUCAUGAGAAAUUCUAAUGGCUCCUUCUCUUCUUUGUGUGUCCUCAGGAGAGCUUGCGUUGAUGUCAACAAUGCAAGAUUUGUGCUCCGGGCAAUUGGAGUAGAAUCAGUUUCCUGAGAGCCAAGUUCUCGACUUCCCCUAGAAGGAAAGGGUAUGGAACCGAGCAUAUGGGAGGCUCUCUAGGCCCUUUUACAUUAUUGGAUUUAGCUACGCUCACAUAAUGAAAUUGUUGAGAUUGUUUAAACCUUCUGCAGGGACUUCUGUUAGCAGAAAAGAAACUUGUACUAAAGCCAUAAGAAGAUUGUAUUAUAGAUAUAAUGGAAUCUUUUUAAUCUUUUGCCUGGUUUUCUGCAAAGGACUGACAUUUUUUUCUGGGCAUAAAGCCAAAGGUCUGUUUAAUUUCUACUUAAAAUUUCCCAUGGUCACUAAUACUCUCCCCCCAGAUGGUCGUUUUAUAAGUUAAUAAAUAAAGACAAAGCCACUAGAAAGGUUGUGAAUCCUUGGAAGGUUUUUUUUUUUUUAAGGUAGCUAUUUUGCACAGUAAAUAGAAUAACAUCUAUAAAAAGCGUGUUCCUGAAUCUUCAGGACAAUGCUUCACUGAUAUCACUCAAACUUCGGUAAAAUAUUGAACUUAUCUUUGUCUUAAGACCACAGCUGUGAUUAAAUAAAGAUUUAAUAUAAAAAUGCAAGUUUACUUGCAUCAGAUGAAUUCUUAUGAACAUAUGAAAUUAUAUCACUCCUAUUUUUUACUGCACUUAGGAUUUUUGAGGGGCAGCAUUUUUUUUAAUUAAAAAUUACAUUUAUUUAUUUUAAUUAUUCUAGGAGGUUUUUGCCAACUAGGUGACAGUUUUGUUUUCGUUUUUGGAGAGAGAGAGAAUGAAGUGGGGAGAGAACCCAGAUGUUAGAAACUGACCCAAUCAGUCAGCUUCUCAUAAAGGACCAUCAUGACAGUUUGGCUGUAAAAAAAAGGCACCCCGUUGAGUGCUACAUGUUCCAGGAAAUGGCUGGCCACGAAAAACCUUCUGUUCCUAGCAUUCAUUUCCAGAAUGUCCCCAAACUGCUUGUUUGUUCCCUCCCAGCCAACCAAGGGCAGUCAAAUGUACCUGAAGAUCAAUUAGUCAUCCCGGCUUCCAGAAAUCUCACCUUUAUCGAAUCCUCGGCAGUCAGAGGCUGUUUCAGCCUAUCCUUUUUUAGUCUGUAAAAAUCACUUUCCUUUCUAACACCCGGGAACCCUGCUGAAACGAAAGUGACAGCAGAUGGGUUCCCUUGCUAUCAGUUUAUGAAUAAACAGCCUUUGUUCAUUUUGUCUCAAAGUUUUGUCUUUGACAGAUGUAACCAUGACUUAAAGCAAUACCUGCCUGUAGAAGAAGUGAGUAUUAACUUAUUCAACAAAUACCUACUGAGUACCUACUAAGUGCCAGGCACUACUCUCAGCACUGAGACAUAAGAUACAUAAUUUGUCGUUGGUGACUCACUUCCUGGUGAAUUCAAGAACUCCGUAAAUUGAAGUCAUUUAUUGUUAACAGUGCUUACUGAGAUAAAAACCUGCUUUUUAUAGUUUACAGAGAAGCAGCUUUUCUUUUAUAAGUGAAACUGCAACCAAAUAGUUCAACAUGAUAUCACAGCCUACUUGUGAUACGGGAGUACUGGGAAGGAAAGAGCAUGGUCCCUUUAGGUGUUAAGGAAGUGGGGUAAGGGAAGUAAGGGGUAGAGAAAGGUGGGUUCUCUGGCUAGGGCUCUACCCCCAUGGAUCUAGGUGAGUCCAAGCAUUCUUGCUUUCCCGCCCAAAUGCUGCAUUUUCCAAGCCCACCCUAGCCAGCCACGCCCCCAUCCUGGGCCUAUAAAAACCCAGAGACCCUACAGGACAGACACAGUGAAGCCACUAGACGGCAUGAGGAACACAUCCAGGGAAAAAAGGCACAUGCGGCUGAUCAUGAGAGCCCGCUGGGAGAGAGCCCGCUCUCGGACAGGCACCGGCAGGCCAUUGACGGUGGGACAAGGUGGAGUUUGUACUGGGGCAAUGGGAGGAGAGCUGGGGCCCCCAGUAGCCCUACUCCAUGGGAAAACCGUCUGCCUUCUGGCUUCCCCAUCAUUGGAGAGCUACUUCCACUCAAUACAAUUUUGCACUCAUUCUCCAAGUCACAUGUGACCGAUUCUUCUGGUACACAGAAGCAAGCAAUCAUGGGAUACAGAAAGCCCUCUGUCCUUGGGAUAAGGUAGAGGGUCUAAUUGAGCUAACAAAAGCUGCCUAUAGAUGGCAAACUGAGAGAGCAUCCUGUAACACACGCCCGCCGGAGCUUCAAGAACUGCAAACAUUCACCCUUAGACACUGCUGUGGGGUGGGGUCGGAGCCCCACAGCCUGCCCGUCUGUGUGAUCCCCUGGAGGUUCAAGCAGUGAGGUACUGAAGACAUGAGCCAAACUCCUACCACAUGCCCUGGGAGGGGGCAGUGGAACCUUUCUCAUUUCACUUGGGGUAGAGAUAAAGUUAUUAUUGUUGUUGUGGUUGCCAUCAACAUCCCCAUGAUAUUUG